rnacentral:pre_miRNA from 1 species
CAAUUACUCCCUCCGUUCCGAAUUACUUGUCACAGAUAUGGAUCUAUCUAGAUAUAUUUUAGUUCUAGAUACAUCCAUUUCUACGAUGAGUAAUUUGGAACGGAGGGAGUACUUU